rnacentral:rRNA from 1 species
AUACACAGCCAUAUCCUACUGAAUAAGCCUAAUCUUUUCUGAUCUCAGAAGCUAAGCUCUAUCAGACCUGGUUAGUAUUUGCUUGGGAAACUACCUGGGAAUACUGAGUACUCUAGGCC